rnacentral:rRNA from 1 species
GUCGAGCGAGCGCUUUGGAAAGAUUCUUCGGAUGAUUUCCUUUGCGAUUGAGCGGCGGACGGGUGAGUAACGCGUGGGUAACCUGCCUCAUACAGGGGGAUAACAGUUAGAAAUGACUGCUAAUACCGCAUAAGACCACGGUACCGCAUGGUACAGUGGUAAAAACUCCGGUGGUAUGAGAUGGACCCGCGUCUGAUUAGGUAGUUGGUGGGGUAACGGCCUACCAAGCCGACGAUCAGUAGCCGACCUGAGAGGGUGACCGGCCACAUUGGGACUGAGACACGGCCCAGACUCCUACGGGAGGCAGCAGUGGGGAAUAUUGCACAAUGGAGGAAACUCUGAUGCAGCGACGCCGCGUGAAGGAUGAAGUAUUUCGGUAUGUAAACUUCUAUCAGCAGGGAAGAAAAUGACGGUACCUGACUAAGAAGCCCCGGCUAACUACGUGCCAGCAGCCGCGGUAAUACGUAGGGGGCAAGCGUUAUCCGGAUUUACUGGGUGUAAAGGGAGCGUAGACGGCACGGCAAGCCAGAUGUGAAAGCCCGGGGCUCAACCCCGGGACUGCAUUUGGAACUGCUGAGCUAGAGUGUCGGAGAGGCAAGUGGAAUUCCUAGUGUAGCGGUGAAAUGCGUAGAUAUUAGGAGGAACACCAGUGGCGAAGGCGGCUUGCUGGACGAUGACUGACGUUGAGGCUCGAAAGCGUGNGGAGCAAACAGGAUUAGAUACCCUGGUAGUCCACGCCGUAANCGAUG